AUGAAAUUUGGGACAAGAAAAGAAGAAAGUACAUAUGAAACAAGAAAAGAAGAAAGUAUAGACAAGAAAGCUGAAGCAAGCACUGCACCAAUCCUAUCUUUCGCUGCGCAUGCAGGAGUAAUGAACCAUAGACAAAUCAGUAACCUGAAGAAUACUGAAGUGGCACCCUUCGUCAAAAGCCAUCGGUUAAUCUUAGGCAAUGGCACCCUUGCCUGCAUGUAUACAUUGAUAAGUGAAGACUUCCUAAUUGUUGUAUGGUUUCAAGACAAACUAGAAGAGGUACUUCCUGCACAUCAGUCUCCAUCCGCAAGUUAA
rnacentral:rRNA from 1 species